rnacentral:tRNA from 1 species
GUAAAAUGGCUGAGUUAGGUAAUAAACUGUAAAUUUAUUUAGGAAUAUUAAUAUUCUUUUACCG